AACGAACGCUGGCGGCAUGCCUAACACAUGCAAGUCGAACGAGACCUUCGGGUCUAGGGGCGCACGGGUGGGUAACGCGGGGGAAGCUGCCCGUAGGUUCGGAAUAACUCCCCGAAAGGGGUGCUAAUACCGGAGAAUGUCUUCGGACCAAAGAUUUAUCGCCUUUGGAUGGGCCCGCGUUGGAUUAGCUAGUUGGUAGGGUAAAAGCCUACCAAGGCGACGAUCCAUAGCUGGUCUGAGAGGAUGAUCAGCCACACUGGGACUGAGACACGGCCCAGACUCCUACGGGAGGCAGCAGUGGGGAAUAUUGGACAAUGGGCGAAAGCCUGAUCCAGCCAUGCCGCGUGAGUGAUGAAGGCCUUAGGGUUGUAAAGCUCUUUUACCCGGGAUGAUAAUGACAGUACCGGGAGAAUAAGCUCCGGCUAACUCCGUG
rnacentral:rRNA from 1 species